rnacentral:rRNA from 1 species
UACGUAGGGGGGCAAGCGUUGUCCGGAUUUAUUGGGCGUAAAGGGCGCGUAGGCGGUUUCUUAAGUUUGGAGUGACAGUGGGUGGCUUAACUACCCAAGGCCUCUGAAAACUGGGGAACUUGAGGACCAGAGAGGGACAUAGAAUUCCGGGUGGAGUGGUGAAAUGCGUAGAUAUCCGGAGGAAUACCAAAGGCGAAGGCAGUGUCCUGGAGGGUAACUGACGCUGAGGCGCGAAAGCUAGGGGAGCGAACAGG